GAUGAACGCUGGCGGCGUGCCUAAUACAUGCAAGUCGAGCGAACAGAUGAGGAGCUUGCUCCUCUGACGUUAGCGGCGGACGGGUGAGUAACACGUGGAUAACCUACCUAUAAGACUGGGAUAACUUCGGGAAACCGGAGCUAAUACCGGAUAAUAUAUUGAACCGCAUGGUUCAAUAGUGGAAGACGGUUUUGCUGUCACUUAUAGAUGGAUCCGCGCCGCAUUAGCUAGUUGGUAAGGUAACGGCUUACCAAGGCAACGAUGCGUAGCCGACCUGAGAGGGUGAUCGGCCACACUGGAACUGAGACACGGUCCAGACUCCUACGGGAGGCAGCAGUAGGGAAUCUUCCGCAAUGGGCGAAAGCCUGACGGAGCAACGCCGCGUGAGUGAUGAAGGUCUUCGGAUCGUAAAACUCUGUUAUUAGGGAAGAACAAAUGUGUAAGUAACUAUGCACGCCUUGACGGUACCUAAUCAGAAAGCCACGGCUAACUACGUG
rnacentral:rRNA from 1 species